UACGGAGGGUGCAAGCAUUAAUCGGAUUUAUUGGGCGUAAAGGGCGCGUAGGCGGAUUUGUAAGUCAGAUGUGAAAUUCCGAAGCUCAACUUCGGAGCUGCAUUUGAAACUGUAAGUCUAGAGGAAUGGCGGAGAAAAUGGAAUUCCACGUGUAGCGGUGAAAUGCGUAGAUAUGUGGAAGAACACCGGUGGCGAAAGCGGUUUUCUAGCUUUUACCUGACGCUGAGGCGCGAGAGCAAGGGGAGCAAACAGG
rnacentral:rRNA from 1 species